rnacentral:lncRNA from 1 species
CACCCACUUCCCACACGCAACAAUAGCUCAUGGGUACCACAGAUAACUUUGCCAAAGUUCUCUGCCAAAGUUGAGCACGUGAAGCUUGCAGCUCCCACUACAUCGCUCUGACCAAGAAGGGUAAAAGAAUAGCAAAGAAACAGCACUAACAAAGUUUAGACCCAUAAAUUUUGAAGGUCUAGCUACCAUAUUAUUACCCACAAGGGUAAAGGAACAGUACCACUGCUGGAUAAUUGGAAAGUCCCUGUGUGUUAACCUCUGUGCUUCGUGGCAAGGUAGACUAGCAAACAUGCCCAACCUUUACUCACAUUCGAGAAAACACUCCCAAUAAGAUUGCUUGCUCCAAAAUCGAAGAGGCACCGUCCUCCGAAUCUCGAGAGCCAGACUCCCAACAUGACUACUUUCUUAAAAAAUCGAAGAGAGGGUAAAGGAACAGUACCAUUGCUGGAUAAUUGGAAAGUUCCUGUGUGUCAACCUCUGUGCUUCGUGGCAAGGUAGACUAGCAAACAUGCCCAACCUUUACUCACAUUCGAGAAAACACUCCCAACAAGAUUGCUUGCUCCAAAAUCGAAGAGGCACUGCCCUCCGAAUCUCGAGAGCCAGACUCCCAACAUGAUUACUUUCUCAAAAAUCGAAGAGACACUGCUCCCCGAAUCUCGAGAGCCAGACCCCCAGCAUGAUUGCUUUCUCAAAAAUCGAUGAGGCAUCGUUCUCCGAAUCAAUCGAAGAGGCGCUCGCUUUCUCAAAAGCUGGGCUGCUCAGAGACCACGAGGGCCGAUCUCAGAAAUCGAAGAGGCACCUACUUUUCUAGCCUUGUCAGCACCUGUCACACGCGCACACUCAGCUUUGCAGAAAUUAUGGGCAUUCUGUCGAAGACUUCUGGUGAAGUAGAAAGCACAUGAAUCUUACUGUUCAAUCACCCACUUCCCAACACGCUCAACCAACAAAUAGCUCAUGGGUACCACAUAAUUGCCAAAGUUCUCUGCCAAAGUUGAGCACGUGAAGCUUGCAGCUCCCACUACAUCGCUCUGACCAAGAAAGGUAAAAGAAUAGCAAAGAAACAGCACUAACACAAAGUUUAGACACAUAAAUUUUGAAGGUCUAGCUACCAUAUUAUUACCCACAACUGUAAAGGAACAGUACCACUGCUGGAUAAUUGGAAAGUCCCUGUGUGUCAACCUCUGUGCUUCGUGGCAAGGUAGACUAGCAAACAUGCCCAACCUUUACUCACAUUCGAGAAAACACUCCCAAUAAGAUUGCUUGCUCCAAAAUCGAAGAGGCACCGUCCUCCGAAUCUCGAGAGCCAGACUCCCAACAUGACUACUUUCUCAAAAUCGAAGAGAGGGUAAAGGAACAGUACCAUUGCUGGAUAAUUGGAAAGUCCAUGUGUGUCAACCUUUGUGCUUCGUGGCAAGGUAGACUAGCAAACAUGCCCAACCUUUACUCACAUUCGAGACAACACUCCCAACAAGAUUGCUUGCUCCAAAAUCGAAGAGGCACCGCCCUCCGAAUCUCGAGAGCCAGACUCCCAAAAUGAUUACUUCCUCAAAAAUCGAAGAGACACUGCUCUCCGAAUCUCGAGAGUCAUACCCCCAGCAUGAUUGCUUUCUCAAAAAUCGAAGAGGCAUCGUUCUCCGAAUCUCGAGAGCC